ACUUGGCUGAAGACACUAAAGAGAACUAGAUGUUAUCCUGCUGAUCCCAAUUUCCUAUGUUUCUGGCACCAGAAAACCCUGAAUGAUAGGUUUUUCUGAAGCUGCUGACAUCGGGUCAGCCCUCAAUAUCAUCACCUCUAGACAUGUUCAGGAGGUACUCAAAGGUAACACUGGCAGCUGAGAGCAGGCCAAUCAAUGUCUGGCCACCACCCUAAUCCCACCUGAACAGUCACACCCCACCUCCCUUUGUGUGUUCACACAGUGGGGUGAUGUCAUGUGGAUCUGGCCUGUCCUGAGCAGACCCAGGUGUUGGGUUGUCAGAUACCAAGUGACCCAUCACAUUCACUCCUCAGAUCAUGGCUCAAAAGUCUGCAGAGCAGAGACAAGAGAUUGACAAAGAGGUGUUGAUGAG
rnacentral:lncRNA from 1 species